rnacentral:rRNA from 1 species
CCAGACUCCUACGGGAGGCAGCAGUGGGGAAUAUUGGACAAUGGGGGCAACCCUGAUCCAGCGAUGCCGCGUGAGUGAUGAAGGCCUUAGGGUUGUAAAACUCUUUCAGAUGGGAAGAUAAUGACGGUACCAUCAGAAGAAGCUCCGGCUAACUCCGUGCCAGCAGCCGCGGUAAUACGGAGGAUCCGAGCGUUAUCCGGAAUCAUUGGGUUUAAAGGGUCCGUAGGCGGGCCAUUAAGUCAGGGGUGAAAGUCUGCGGCUCAACCGUAGAAUUGCCCUUGAUACUGGUGGUCUUGAGUUAUGGUGAAGUAACUAGAAUAUGUAGUGUAGCGGUGAAAUGCAUAGAUAUUACAUAGAAUACCGAUUGCGAAGGCAGGUUACUAACCAUAUACUGACGCUGAUGGACGAAAGCGUGGGUAGCGAACGGGAUUAGAUACCCCGGUAGUCCACGCCGUAAACGAUGGAUACUAGCUGUCCGGAUGCAAAUCUGGGCGGCCAAGCGAAAGUGAUAAGUAUCCCACCUGGGGAGUACGUCCGCAAGGAUGAAACUCAAAGGAAUUGACGGGGGCCCGCACAAGCGGUGGAGCAUGUGGUUUAAUUCGAUGAUACGCGAGGAACCUUACCAGGGCUUAAAUGUGGUCUGACAGCUUUAGAGAUAGAGCCUCCUUCGGGCAGAUCACAAGGUGCUGCAUGGUUGUCGUCAGCUCGUGCCGUGAGGUGUCAGGUUAAGUCCUAUAACGAGCGCAACCCCUGCCGUUAGUUGCCAGCAUGUAAAGAUGGGGACUCUAACGGGACUGCCGGUGCAAACCGCGAGGAAGGUGGGGAUGACGUCAAAUCAUCACGGCCCUUACGUCCUGGGCCACACACGUGCUACAAUGGCCGGUACAGAGAGCAGCCACUGGGCAACCAGGAGCGAAUCUAUAAAACCGGUCACAGUUCGGAUCGGGGUCUGCAACUCGACCCCGUGAAGCUGGAAUCGCUAGUAAUCGGAUAUCAGCCAUGAUCCGGUGAAUACGUUCCCGGGCCUUGUACACACCGCCCGUCAAGCCAUGGAAGCCGGGAGUGCCUGAAGUCCGUCACCGCAAGGAGCGGCCUAGGGCAAGAUCGGUAACUAGGGCUAAGUCGUAACAAGGUAGCCGUACCGGAAGGUGCGGCUGGAACACCUCCUU